AGUGAUUGCAAUGCUUUUGCAGCCCAAACAGCUGGUCUUGAAAACCAGCGUGUCUUCACGGGCACCGUGAGUUCGAAUCCCACCCUCU
rnacentral:tRNA from 1 species